AGGAGCCUGUAGUUCCAGCUACUUGGGAGGUGGGAAGAUCGCUUGAGCCCGGUAGGUUGAGGCUGCACUGAGCUAUGAUCGCGCCCCUGCACUCCGACCUGGUAGACAGAGCCAGACCCUGUCUCAACGAAAGGAAAGAAAUGGGCCGGGCGCGGUGGCUCACGCCUGUAAUCCCAGCACUUUGGAAGGCCGACACGGGCGGAUCACGAGGUUAGGAGAUCGAGACCAUCCUGGCUAACACGGUGAAACCCCGUCUCUACUAAAAAUACAAAAAAUUAGCCGGGCGUGGUGGCGGGCGCCUGUAGUCCCAGCUACUCGGGAGCCUGAGGCACGAGAAUGGUGUGAACCCGGGAGGCGGAGCUUUUAGUGAGCCGAGAUCGUGCCACUGCACUCCAGCCUGGGCGACAGAGCAAGACUCCGUUCCCCCCCCCCCAAAAAAAACAAAGGAAAUAAAUGAAAACAUUGAGGCUAGACUAACUGAUGAAGAGUGGUAACGGCAUGAAGAAGUCGAAAAGAAAGGCGGAUAGGAGCUGCAUUCAAUAUAUGAGUGCAGUUGAUGGAUGCUGACAGGGAUACUCUGGAGACGAAGUCUCGGCCCCUUCGCUAGUCUCUAGUCCUCCAUUUGCUCGCUGCAGUUACAUCAACAGCUCUCUGUAUCGGGGUAGAGUUGCAUAAAAUACAACUUAAAUUACAAUGCUAAAAUAAAUAUGAGCCCAUGAGCGGUAUCAUAGGCCUGAUUUUAAAAAACAAAACCUAGGAGAAGGUAGAAAUUCCAAAGGCGAGAGACGAAUCUGCCAACCUAAAUCCUGGGUGACAAGGCUGGUGGAUCACCGAGGCAAGAAAGAACCAGCGUGAGCUCAAGCCACACCCCUAGGCUCAGACCCAACGCUUGACAUUCGCCGCCGCACUUUCGCCACGCUUGCCGAAGCGCACCCGGCUAACUAGAGGAGGCGGGGCUGAAACCAUAAAAGGGAACUGGGGCGGAGCGAGCUGCGUCGUCGCCAAGGCAACUCGAGAGCUAAGUCCGGGCCUCGGCGGAGCCGGCGCUGCGAAUGGACUGAUGGCCGCUGAGGCUGCUCCUGGCGCGGUUCAUCAUCGGCCGCCGCACUUUCGCGACUGAGACGAAACGACACUCACCUUUACUUAAUGGAAGGCUUCGCUUACAUCCUGAACUUAAAGGAACUACAGAAAGGGACAGAAACUGCUUUCUUUUUAAACAAUGCGCUGAAAGGUUACUAGUGAUAGGAGGCUUAGUGAAGCGCGUGAUGUGAACGGCCACGCUGCAAGGCUGGAGAGAAAAGAGGAGGGAGUGAAGUUGCACCCUGAUCGCGAAUCCUCGGCCUUUUAUCAGGGGCGCCGCCACUCGGGGUCCGACCAUUCGCCUCCAACGAGGGGACAGCGAAUCUGCUGUCGUGUGCAGUCCACAGCAACCACAGGUGGGGCAACAGGAGGAGCGCUUGGGCACGACCACGUGACCCAGCACGAGCCACCGCCCGCCCCAAAAUGAAAUCAAAUCCUAAUCUCCCAAUCCCGGCAUGCCGGUCACUCCAGCCUUUCCAGGAGACUUGCGGCCGUGCAGCCCCUACACCUUUAUCUGGACUCCUGUCGUACUUGGCCCAGCUCCACUGGAUUCAGCCCUUGGAUAACCACCCUACCAGCCCCUAAAGAUGACUCCAUCCCCGUCGGUAUAGUUAAUUAAAGAAAAACAGGAGUCGAAUUUUCCUGGGGUAACUGGUUCUUUAGCAGGAGGGGAGCACUGGGGAGUAUCUUCAGGGUGGCUGGACUUUGCAGCCUCUUUAAUAACUUCCCCCUGUGCAGGUUGUAUCCUUUAUCACCCCACCCCGAUGCCCCGGUCUUCAGGAAAUGGCAGCAGGCCCAUAUUUCUGUAGGGUUCAGAGUUCUGUGAGGUAGAGCAUUCCUUCCAAUGGGAUCUUAGAAUUCCUAGAGUUGCAGAAUUUUACUGACUAGACCCAGGAGGUCUCAGGAGUCCAGACUUGCUUAAAGCUUGGCUCAAAAUUCCAAGGGAGCUCAUAACUCCAUGGGGCCCAGAGUUCCUGGCUCGGGAACAUUGGGAGGCCUGGGAUACAGUGCCUUAGCCUCAAGCAGAAAAGUGAACACAAUAUCUUUAUGGCUUGAAGGUAUAUGAAAUAAUGUCACUACAUCGGAGCAGCGCCUCUGCUUGCACACCUAUGGGAGUCUGCAGCUGUGACACGUAGAAGUUGGCCACAUCCAGGUCGGUGGCUCCAAAGUGGGCGGCCACACGCACACCCUCGUGCAACGUGAAGCUCACCUGAUGACCCACCAUGGCCAGCAGGCUGCGGAGGUAACGCUCCCGAAGGGCGGCUCGUGCCCGCUGCUCCUGGGAUUCCAGGGAUUCUUGAGCUAUGGGACACUCCUGGAUUUCAGGAACCUCUGGCCUCAAGGGGGCUCUGCGUCCAUCAGGGGCAAAGCCACGGCUGAAGCCAUCAGGGCCCCGGGGCAGCCGGAGCACAGGCACGGGAAUGUUCACUGGAGUUUGCAUUGUCUUGGCUGUUGAGUGAAGAAAAAGAGCAGGAAGUCAUUACAUGGCUCUUCCUGUCUCUGCACCUGAACUGUGAGCCCCUUGCAAGACAGGACCCUGCAGAUAGACCAAGGAUGUGAACCAGGGCUACUCAGUCUGGACACUAUUGACAUUUGGGGCUGGAUAAUUAUCUGCUAUGUUGUGGGGGCUGUCCAACGCAUAGGUGUAGGGUUUGAGCAGCAUCCUAGCCUCUGCCUCCUAUUAAUAGAUGCCAGUAGCAUCCCAUCUUCAAGUUGUGACAGCCAAAAAUGUCACCACUGGUGAACAGUGAAUUGGUGAAUGUGAAUUGCAUCUCAAUACA
rnacentral:lncRNA from 1 species